UACGAAGGGGGCUAGCGUUGCUCGGAAUUACUGGGCGUAAAGCGCACGUAGGCGGCUUCUUAAGUCGGUGGUGAAAUCCUGGAGCUCAACUCCAGAACUGCCCUCGAUACUGGGAAGCUCGAGUCCGGGAGAGGUGAGUGGAACUGCGAGUGUAGAGGUGAAAUUCGUAGAUAUUCGCAAGAACACCAGUGGCGAAGGCGCUCG
rnacentral:rRNA from 1 species